UUUGAUGUUGAGUUUGAAUAAAAUGAGAAAUGAGGUAAGAGAAGGUUCUGUCACGAUUUAACUUUCAAAAUAUUUCGUAGAUGCAUCUCCAGAAUAUUUUAACAUUAACCGAGGUUUUGGUGCAUCCGGAGAUGCAUCUCCAGAAUCUGGAGGCAUUUAUGUAUUUUUGCAUGGUGGCAAAAAAACUUAUGGGGUGCAUUAAGAAAUCCUCAAAUCAUUCCAAUGUCC
rnacentral:lncRNA from 1 species